AGUGAACGCUGGCGGUAGGCCUAACACAUGCAAGUCGAACGGCAGCACAGAGGAGCUUGCUCCUUGGGUGGCGAGUGGCGGACGGGUGAGGAAUACAUCGGAAUCUACUCUGUCGUGGGGGAUAACGUAGGGAAACUUACGCUAAUACCGCAUACGACCUACGGGUGAAAGCAGGGGACCUUCGGGCCUUGCGCGAUUGAAUGAGCCGAUGUCGGAUUAGCUAGUUGGCGGGGUAAAGGCCCACCAAGGCGACGAUCCGUAGCUGGUCUGAGAGGAUGAUCAGCCACACUGGAACUGAGACACGGGCCAGACUCCUACGGGAGGCAGCAGUGGGGAAUAUUGGACAAUGGGCGCAAGCCUGAUCCAGCCAUACCGCGUGGGUGAAGAAGGCCUUCGGGUUGUAAGGCCCUUUUGUUGGGAAGGAAAUCCAGCUGGCUAAUACCCGGUUGGGAUGACGGUACCCAAAGAAUAAGCACCGGCUAACUUCGUGCCAGCCGCCGCCGUAA
rnacentral:rRNA from 1 species